CUUAACUGGACCACAGGAUGCCCAGACUUUUAGCCAAACAUUAUCCUGUGUGUGUCUGGGAGACUGUUUCUGGAUGACAUGGACAUUUGAAUCCAUAGACUGAGUAAAGCAGAUUGCCCUCCCGAAUGGAGGUAGGCCUCAUCUAGUGAGGUGAAGACGUGACUACAAUGAAAAGGCUGAGUAAGAGGGAAUGCGUCCUACCUGACUUGUUUGAGUUGGGAUCAUGGUCUUUCUCAGCCUUCAGACUCGGACUGAAACAGCAGCUCUUCUUGGAUCUCCAGCCUGCCGACUUUCAGCUUGGAACUUAUGCCAUCAGCUCUCAUGGUUCUCAGACCUUCAGACUUGAACUAGAACUACAAACCAGUUUUCCUGGGUCUCCAACUUGUGGACUGCACGUCUUGGGACUUCUCAGCCUCCCUAAUUGUAGCAGAGAAUGUUGAAUAUACGUUGAAGAUGCAUUUGAAAGAGAAGCUAAUACAUGGAGCAAGAACUGAAAGCAGAAAGAAGAUGGAUCAAGAGGACAGAUGGGGAAUCAAUAAAAAUAUGAAUGGAGAACAUCUUCUAUGGGCAUCGGUAGCUUUCCCCACCAAAACCAGGACCCAGGGCUCCAACAUAUGACACAUAAGACUUUGCCCUGAACUGGGAGGCAGAAAAUCUAGGAUCUAGCUCUGGUCCUGUCUGCAGAAAGCGAGAAGGAGCUGACAAAAUGAAUGCCCACUAUUCUCCAGAGUUCUCCUGCCAACCACAGACCAAGAAUCUUCCCCAUCGAUAUCAAAGCGGAGAAGAACAACUGCCAUGAGAGAAUGACAAACUGCAGCCAGGACUGCGUAUGGACAGCGAGCUAGUUCUCACAGAAGCUUUCAGCCUGCUGGUUACACAGGCUCGUUGCUAUUUUGAUCUUUUCAUUAACUUCACAGUAAUACAAUUCCACAUUUUAAACAACUGAAUUUUGAUAUCUCACUUGCUUUAUGGUAGAGUUUUGCUGUGGUGUGUUAUGGUUUCCUUUUUGUUUUUUUAAAACAUUUCAACUAUGAAAGAUGGAGAAUUCAUUCUGAUGUAAAGUCUGAAGUCUGAAUGAAUUUGGCCUUUUUCAGAUAGACAGCAAACGCUCCCACUGUGAUUUAUACUUAGGAGAUAAUGUUUCCCCACUGGUACAAAAUGCCACCUUUAUCACAUGCUAUAUUCUGUAUGUGAUAUAUAUAUAUAUCUCAUAUAUGAGAUGGAUUUUUUUUCUAGACUUGCUAUUCUGUCCAUGAUAUGUCUAGUCAACUGACUAUCCCAUUGUUUUAGCUCUUGUAGUUUUAUAAUAUACCAAUAUCUUGUAAAAUUAUUACCCCCCCACCAUUAAUUCUACUUUUCCCCCUAUUAUUUUCUGGCUUUUCUUCCAUAUUUUUCAGUGAACUUGAGAGUCAUCUUGUUUAAUUUAAAAUACUAUUUUUAUUUGAAUAAUACUAAAUUUAUGGAUUAUACCUUGGUGAAAAGCAGCAUAUUCAAUGCUGAGUUUUAUUAUCUAAAUAUGCAAUAUGUUUUCUAUUUGUUAAUGUCUUUUUUGGGCCCCUCAAUAUUGAUUUAAAAUUUUCUUCAUAUUGAUCUUGUACCUAUCAUAGAAAGUUUGUUCCUAGGUAUUUAAUUUUUUUGAUGGAAUUGAAAUAGAGUCUUUCACAAAUGUGUUUUCUAACUGGUGGUUGCCUGAAUGACAACUAUUAAUUUUGUUCCAGAAAACUUACUAAAUUUCCUUAUUGUUUUUAAAGUUUGGAGUUUUUUUUUUUUUUUUAGUAAUUCUCUUGUUCUGUCCAAAUAGACUAUCAAAUUAUGUACAAAUAUUGAUAAAUUUAUCUCUUCCUUGCCAAUAUUUAUAACUCUAAUUUCUUCCUUUGUCUAAUAGUUUGACUAGGACAUCCAGUUCAAUAUUAAAUAAUAGCAAUUGCAGACAUUUCCAAGUUUAAUGCAACUUGUUCUAGUGUUUCAACCUUAAGCUUAAUCCUGCCAUUGGUGUUGAAGCAGAUACAUUUUGUCAGAAAAGCAUGCAUCUAUCUCUAUUUUAAGAAUUUUUAUCAAAAAAGGAGUUGGCAUUUUAUAAAAUAUUUUUUCAUAUUCUUGUUUACUAACUCUUCUAGAAUCAGAUUUGGUGGAUUAUAUUUUCCCAAAAAAUUAUUCCUUUAAUCUAGAUUUUCACAUUUGUGUGCGAAAUGGGGAAUGGAAGAAAGUAAUCUCAUAAAACUCCUUUCACUUCCUUUUCAUUUGUGAUUAUUUCUUACAUAUUUUUUUGUUCGGAGUAUAUGUGUUUUUCCCUCUUCUUGAUUGAAUUAGAUACAAGUGUAUCUCUUAUUUUUUCCAAAGAACUAGCAAAUCAAUUUAUUUAUCAGUUCUACCAUUUUCUGUUAAUCAGAAAUCCACCCUUCUUCUCCCAUUUGUUUUACAUUAUCUUCUUCCCUAUUUUUCCCAUGGGUUUAAUUUAUUGCUUUCCUGGGCCUGUCAUGUCUUCCUUUCUUUGUCCCUGAUGAGAGUCUACUCAUACUUCUGUAGCUCAGCUCAGAUAAUACUUUCUCUGACCCCUUCAUCAGAAGCAGUCAUCCCUCAUCUCUGCUUCCACGGGUUCUGUACACACUUAGUUUGUGGUAUCUUUUAUACUUUAUCUUAAUUUUCUCUAUAGCUUCUCUAACUACACUGCUUGUAAUAUGAUGCCACUCAAGUAAUGUUCAAUAAUGAAGCAAUAAUAUAGGUACAUACAAUGCUUACUUUUCUUAUCUAUCUUCUUAUCUACAUCUAGAAUACUUAUUUAUAGAGCUUAAAAUUCAGCGAAAUGCAUUAGAACAAUAGACAGUGAAGAUAGUUAUUCACAGAAAAGUUCUCUACACUAUGGAUCAGUUAUAUCCUAAUUUAUCUUUCUACUUUUGACAAAAUGGAACUGAAUUUGUUUUAUUUUAAAAAGAAAGAUAUCAAACCAUGGACCUCCUUUUCAACGUGGGUUGAAUUUUAUCAGACUUUUUUUCAACAAGCAAAGUUUUCAUAAUCAUGGACUUUCUUUAGACUAAUUUUCUUUAAAGAUUUAUAUAUAUAUAUAUAAAAUCAUUUGGCCAUUGAUCAAAAAAAAUGCCCCCACACAUAAUAUAAUUUUAGAUGUAUCAUAAAAACUUCUCUAUCCCUAGGAUACCUUUUUCAUUAGGCUCAUUGAAGCCCGAAAAUCCAGUUUGAGAUACAUUCCUUUGACUAAAGAUUACUUUUAUCUCUCAAAAUGGAAAGCUUUUGGAAAAUAAUGUACAUUAUCAAAUAAUCAAAAAUUCAUAUUCAUCUACUUUAUACAAAUGCUUUGAAGUUUAAAUUUAUUGCGUCAUUUCCAUGGAGUCUCCAGUUAUGUUGGUCUUAAGAAAGGAAAAUUAAACAGCAUAUUGUGUGUAAGGGAUUGAGAAAAGGAAGGCUGAGGACAUGAAAGUUUCCUUACCCUAUGUAUUUGUUCAUAGCUAUCAUCUUUUUUAGCCCAGUGGACCAAGCACUGUAUUAAUGUAAGGUCCAGAGUAUGUUGUUUAACCUUCAAAAACCAGAUGGCAUCUAUUUAUUCAAAUUAACAAAUAUUUAUUAAAUGCCUACUGUGUGCUUGCCACUUUUCUAGGUGCUUGGGAUACAGCAGUGAACCAAACAACAACAAAUCCCUGUCCCACUGGAUUUCACAUUCUACUAGGAAAAGUCAAAUAAUAAACAGUGAUCAUAAGAAGUAAACAAAUUACAUAUUUUUUCAGAGAGUGAUGAGUGCUACGGAAAAAUAGAGCAGCUUAAGGGGAGGAUCAAGGGUGCUAGAGGUGGGGGAGGUGACAAUUUUAAAUGAGAUGGUCAAGGGAAGCCUCACUGAAUUUAUAAUAUAAGAAACCUCAAAAGUUUCAGGGUAAGGGAAGUUGACCAAAGAACAUCUAGAGAAAACAGUGUUCUUUAUGGAAGGAACCGCCAGUGCAAAGGCACUAAGACAAGGACAUGCUUGGCAUGUUCAAGUAGCACAGGGAAGCUAGUGUGGUUGGAAUGAGAGAGCAGAGGGGGCAUAGAGAAAAGAGAGGGGUCAGAGAGAUACUGGGGUGAGGAGUGGAGCAGGUGGCCUUGUAGGAAUUGGCUUUUACUCUGAGUGAGAUAUGAAACUAUUGGAAGGCUUUAAACGGAAGACUGACAUGAUCUGAUUUAUGGAUUACUCUGACUCUGUAUUAAGAAUAAACUAUAGUGAGCCAAGAGGAGAGGCAGGGAAACUGGUUAGACAACUAUUGCGAUAAUCUAGGUAAAGAUGAUGGUUUGAGACUGAGGUAGACCACAGGAAGUGGUAAGAAAUGAUCAGGUAUAUUUUGGAGGUAGAAUUGGCUGGUGGAUUAGAUGUGGGGUAUGAGAAAAAGAGCAGGAAAAAGGUUGACUGCAAAAAUUUGGGCCUGGAAUCAUCAUCAAAUGAUGGGUGGAAGACCGCAGGUAGAGGACCUUGCAGGGAGUGGACCAGAAGCUCCAUUUUGGACAUGUUAAGUUUGAUAUCUCCAUCAGUCAUCCGAAAGGAGGUUUUCAGUAGACAAUUUGGUAGUCAAGUCUGAAGUUCAGAAGAGAGGUCUGGGCUAAAGAUACAAAUUUGGGGGGCUGGCCCCGUGGCCGAGUGGUUAAGUUCGUGCGCUCUGCUGCAGGCGGCCCAGUGUUUCGUUGGUUCGAAUCCUGGGAGCGGACAUGGCACUGCUCGUCAGACCACGCUGAGGCAGCGUCCCACAUACCACAACUAGAAGAACCCACAACGAAGAAUACACAACUAUGUACCAGGGGGCUUUGGGGAGAAAAAGGAAAAAAUAAAAUCUUUAAAAAAAAAAUUAAAAAAAUAAAAAAAAAAUAAAGAUACAAAUUUGGGAGUUUAUGGUGUAUACAUAGAAUUUAAAUUCACAAGACAGGUCGAAAUUUCCAGGAGAGGGAAUGUAUAUGGACAAGAAGAAAAAAAACUAAACUCUAUGGCUCUUCAACAUCGAGAGUUUGAGGAGAAGAGGAGAAACCAGUAAGAGGAAACCAAGGAGCAGCACCCAGUGGGGUGAGAGGAAAACCCGGAGUGUGGUGUCCUUGAAAACAGAAGAAAAAAUCAUGUCUGGAAAGAAGGAGACCUUGACCCUCCCAAAUGCAGCUGACAUGUUAAGUAAGAUGAGUCCUAAGUUUUGACCAUACACGGAUUUAGCAGCAUGAAUGUUAUUGGUGACCACAGAGACAAUAGAUGCCUUGAUGGGGGUAACAUCUUGAUUGGAGGGACUUUAGGAGGUAGAGAGAGACAGUGAGCAUAGGCAAUUAUUUCAAAGAAUUAGAUACAAUUAUUAAGACUGUUUUACAAAGACCCAAAGAGGGUUUUUACUUGCCUAAGUUCAUAAUAUUAGCAAGUAGAGCUGGGACCUAAAAUCAGGUUUGCUUGAAUCCAGAAUCUGCUCUCUUCACCACCAUCCUAUACUGUCUGAGAUCUGCCCUGGUCACAGACAUAAUAAUUCAGUGAAGGAAGAAACAGACUAGAAGCGGCCAUUUAGCUCUUGUCUUCUGUGUUUUCCCACCAAGAUUUCAGACCAGUAUUCCUACAACCUUCCACGGCAUAAAUUCCCUUCUCACUUUCUAGUGCCAUUCUCUGUGUCACCUUUUUAUCACCUCACUUGUGUAACCAUUUAUUCUCACUCAUCCAAUUCCUUCCUCUUUAAGAACAAAUUAUCUUGUUUUCUUCUAUGUCCAAUUAGUAUAUUCAGUGUUUCCAGAUCUCUAAAUUCAUGCUUUAUUUGUCACUUAUCUAGAAAUAAAAGUCCUUCAGUCCAUUUCCUCUACCCAGUAGACUCUGUCUGCUAAGAUCUAAAAUAAAUCCACCGCUGAACCUGGCUAAGAGGUUAAGAUACCUCAUAGAGUCGGAAAAUAGAACAAAGAAUAGAAAAUAGAGUGAAGAAACUUUGUGUGUCUGUAUAUGGUUGGGGGUGGGGGAAGUGACAGGUAACCAACAAACCAGGCUGAAAAUAGGACUCCAGAGUAAGUUAGAUUUCUAGCAACAUCUCCAGCAGUGUUCGCAGAAAAUGGAUCCAAGAGUGGAUAAAAGCACAUGGUCCAUAGCAUGACAAAGAGAGGAAUCAAAAAAAUCAUGUUGCACGAAAAAAGACUAUCAGGACACACAAAGUGAGGACAAGGAAUGAGUCUGGUAACCACCGACUUGGGCCAAUCAGAUAGCAAAUAACAUUGCGAGAAUGAGCCCUUGAGCACAUAUGACUUGGCAUGAAGUGUCUUGCUUUUGCUUCUCUUCACAUGGCAUAUCUUCAAGUGGCUAUGGCUUAUUUUUUCCAUAAAGUACUACCAAAAGCUCCUCCUCAAACUGGAAAUUCAUAGUCAUAGUAACAAGCUCAAUAUAAACAGAGCCUCUGUUUUACAAUGCACUCUGUUCUGGGUCACUUGAAACACUGAUUUCUUCACGGAUGCUAUCAUCCUUUCCUGACACGAUAGCUCUAAUCAUAAUAUGCGUCUUUGCAACAUGCAGAUGUGUCCAUGACGCAUAUAUGCCUUUUUCAGCCUGAUUCUGCGUACACAGAGCUCUUCCGUGUGUGUUGCCCACCGUCUCAAUGAGAGCCCAUGACUCACGAUCUGUGGCUUUGAGUCAUGCUCUGAAGUGAUGUGAAUUAGUCUUAAUUUGGUGCUUUUCAGUUAUCAGUAUAAGCCCUGCCUGCUGAGAGCUUUGUUUUGUUUUCCUUGCUAGCACUUGGAACUCCCUUAAUUGGUAGUUGAUAACUUCCACAGUGUGUAUUUUACAUGGAGGAGUGAAAGUUGGCCCAAUUGUAAGCAAAAAGAACAAAACAAAUUGGCACCGAAUAGAAAGUGUAUUGUGAAAGAACUAACGGCUGGGAAAAGCAGAGAUUUUGUAGAUAAAACGUUGCUUGUUUGCUUCAUUGUAAAGCAAGUGACUUCACCCUCUAAUCGCAGAUCACAAAUGAAGGUGACAACCCUGGAGAACUUGACAGAUAAGGGAGGGAGAGAUGGGAGGGAGAAGCCUCAUCCAUUUAUGUGUCCACAUGUAUGUCUCUGAGAUGAAAUUGUUGUACCAGAAAAGGGAGAAUUGAAUAGAAUAGGAGGAUAACAUUCAAGCCUCAAGUGCCUCUACCACAUCCUGGUGCCCAGACAAAAAAUAAUCUGAGGUUGUAACAUCAUUUUACGUCCUGACAUAGUCUGGUAUUUAAAAGGUUUUAUGAACUAAAAGCAUCUGAGAACCUGAGAAAUGCGCCUAAAAUUGAACUAUCUGGUUUAGGAAACACGUAGACAAUGGUCUGAGUGAUUCACUUUUGUGUUAGAACAGAGAGGAGGAGAACUUGUAUAUUUGUUAAAGUGUUUACAUAGACAGAAGAUCUUGAAAGUGUGCCUAUCAUUUUCUUUUUUUUUUCGCUAUUGCCCUACCCUUGUUUAAUCUUCACUGGUUUUCUGUGGUCGUUUUUUCAGUAAAGAAAGUUUAUUUUUUGCUAAAUGUUUCAGCUAGAUUUUCAGACUUUUGAGUAAGAAAUUCUUUGUAUCCUGGGAAUUCUACAGUCUCUUAUUCAUAAUAGUUUUAUACACAAUUGAUACUUCAUGGAUAACUCAGAAUUAAUUUUUAUUUGAUGCUGUAAAUAUUAUAUCUCUUUUCCAGAAAAUUCGUCUGUGUUCAGUCUACAUCAAGAUAUUAAUAAAAUGAGAAGGUCAAAUGUUAUUCAGCAUCCAAGAUAAAACCAGUCUGUGGUUCCACACUCUAUAUAUAUUACAGAUGUGACUAAUUCAGAAGUAGAUUGCUCUUGCAUAGACAUACAUUAUGUUCCACUUUAAUAAAAAUAGAUCUAUUUCUCUUUCGUUUGUUCCUUCUUCCUUUUACUUUGCUUUUGAAAAAUAUUCAUGGAGUCUCAGCUAUUGUGUAGGAAUCGUGAUAAAAGUCAUAAAUAAAGCAGUAAACAAGAAAACAGACAUUUCCCUUGCUCUCAUGGACCUUAACAUCUAGAGAGAUGGCCAGUUAUUAAAGAAAUCCUUGUACAAUACCAAUUGUCAGCAUCAUACAGAAAAGCACAAGGAAGUGAGUGAAGCUUCCCUGAGGAAACGCUAGAGCUAGGACCUGGUACAAGAAGAAUAAAGCCAGCCAUUACCGAGGAGAUUUGGGGUGGGUCCAUUCCAAGCUGAAGUUUGUAUAGUGGUCAGGCUCAUGGACAAGCAUAGACUGUUCUGUCCUACCCUGAACCAAAAUCUGGAGAUGCCACAAAGCUAAAAAGGAAUUUAAAGAAUCCCAGAAUCUAAAUCAAAGACUGUGAAAAGUCCUUGGAGAAUCAGAAGGUAGGUCAGGUCCCACAGAACCUGGAGGAAAGCUUUCUAGUUCUGUACUUUUCUCUCCUCACAUUUUACUGGCCAGUUCAGUGCCCAUGCCACCAUACAGGAUUCAAGGAGUGGACAGAAAC
ensembl:lncRNA